UACGGAGGAUGCGAGCGUUAUCCGGAUUUAUUGGGUUUAAAGGGUGCGUAGGUGGUUUCGUAAGUCAGCGGUGAAAUCUUUCCGCUUAACGGGAAAAUUGCCGUUGAAACUGCGGGACUUGAGACCGGACAAGGUAUGCGGAAUUCGUGGUGUAGCGGUGAAAUGCAUAGAUAUCACGAAGAACUCCGAUAGCGUAGGCAGCAUACCGGGGCGGAUCUGACACUGAAGCACGAAAGUGUGGGUAUCAAACAGGAUUAGAUACCCUGGUAGUCCACACGGUAAACGAUGAAUACUGACUGUUUGCGAUACACUGUAAGCGGUUAAGCGAAAGCGUUAAGUAUUCCACCUGGGGAGUACGCCGGCAACGGUGAAACUCAAAGGAAUUGACGGGGGCCCGCACAAGCGGAGGAACAUGUGGUUUAAUUCGAUGAUACGCGAGGAACCUUACCCGGGCUCGAACGGCCGAUGAAUAACGGUGAAAGCCGUUCGUCGCAAGACAUCGGUCGAGGUGCUGCAUGGUUGUCGUCAGCUCGUGCCGUGAGGUGUCGGCUUAAGUGCCAUAACGAGCGCAACCCUUACCGUCAGUUACCAUCAGGUAAAGCUGGGGACUCCGACGGGACUGCCGCCGUAAGGUGUGAGGAAGGCGGGGAUGACGUCAAAUCAGCACGGCCCUUACGUCCGGGGCGACACACGUGUUACAAUGGGGGGGACAGAAGGCAGCUACUCGGCGACGAGAUGCGAAUCCCCAAACCCUCUCCCGGUUCGGAUCGGAGUCUGCAACCCGACUCCGUGAAGCCGGAUUCGCUAGUAAUCGCGCAUCAGCCAUGGCGCGGUGAAUACGUUCCCGGGCCUU
rnacentral:rRNA from 1 species